rnacentral:lncRNA from 1 species
ACCUUCCUCUAAAAAGGGUUUAAUAUUGAAUAUUGAUAAAAAAAAAAAAAAUCACCUUCCUCUAAACCCCAAAACAUUCUCAGCUUCCUUGGCUAACUACUACAUUCUCAGUACCUGAUCAUGCACAACCGGCCUCCCACCUAGAUUCCUAGAAAGGGGAAGAAAGUGUGGCAACAUAGGCGUGAAACAAUAACGUGGCUAUAAAAACC